UACGUAGGGUGCAAGCGUUGUCCGGAAUUAUUGGGCGUAAAGAGCUCGUAGGCGGUUCGUCGCGUCGGCUGUGAAAACCCGGAGCUCAACUCCGGGCCUGCAGUCGAUACGGGCGGACUAGAGUUCGGCAGGGGAGACUGGAAUUCCUGGUGUAGCGGUAAAAUGCGCAGAUAUCAGGAGGAACACCGGUGGCGAAGGCGGGUCUCUGGGCCACUACUGACGCUGAGAAGCGAAAGCAUGGGGAGCGAACAGG
rnacentral:rRNA from 1 species